UCCUACACAGAAAAGAAAGUGCGCGAGUACUCGCGAUUUUGGCGAGUAUUUCGGCUAUUUUUUGGUGACUAUUUGAGUGUAUAUAGCCGAACAAUCGAAAUUUUGCGAGUACUCGCAUUUUUCGCGAGUACUCCGACUAUAUCCACACAAAAAGUCGCUAAAAAAUAGCCGAAUACUCGCAAAAAUCGCGAGUACUCACAAAGUUUCGAUUGUUUGGCUACAUACACUCAAUUAGUCCAGCAAAAUAAAGUGUAAAUAGCCGAAAUACUCGCCAAAAUCGCGAUUACUCGCGGUAAUCGUGUGUAAACAAAAGUUUUCGAUUGUUUAAUUUGAUUUCGAUGUUUAACAUUUUCAUUUUUGUUUGGAUACGGAAUUAUUUCGAAUCAUAAACUAAUGGAUUAGAAUUAUAUCGAUAAAAAUGGUAAUUUGGUACAAAACGAUCCAACUAUUCCAAUCCAAAAAGGUCUUCAAUGUGAUGGAAAAAAGAUUUCACAUUUCAUUUUUCUUAUUACGAAGGAAAUCUUAUAAAUUCAAAUGGCACAUUUGUGCCGGAUAAUUAUGAAUUCCCGGUAUUUGAUGAUGACUUAAACGUAUUUUUGCUGAAUCCGAAUUCGAUUGCCAGCUUUAAGAUAUUGAAUUCAAUUAUUCUUUCGAUUAUCAGAUCAAUCGUUAAACAUAUUUGCGGAACAAGU